UCUAUGGCUUAUACCAUCUUGAAUGUGCCGGAUCUUUUCUGAUCUCAGAAGAUAAGCCAGGUCAAUCCUAUUAGAACUUAAAUGGGAGAAAUGAUUGGGAAUUUUAGUU
rnacentral:rRNA from 1 species